GGUUCCUUAGCUCAGUUGGUUAGAGCGUGGUGCUAAUAAGGCUCUGCUGCCUGUCAACGCCAAGGUCGAGGGUUCGACCCCCUUAGGGACCA
rnacentral:tRNA from 1 species